rnacentral:rRNA from 1 species
GGCUCAGGAUGAACGCUGGCGGCGUGCUUAACACAUGCAAGUCGAACGAAGCAUUUUUACGGAACAUUUUCGGAUGGGAGGAAAAUGACUGAGUGGCGGACGGGUGAGUAACGCGUGGAUAACCUACCAUAUACAGGGGGACAACAGUUGGAAACGACUGCUAAUACCGCAUAAGCGCACAGUGCCGCAUGGCACAGUGUGAAAAACUCCGGUGGUAUAUGAUGGAUCCGCGUCUGAUUAGCUAGUUGGUGAGGUAAUGGCCCACCAAGGCAACGAUCAGUAGCCGACCUGAGAGGGUGACCGGCCACAUUGGGACUGAGACACGGCCCAAACUCCUACGGGAGGCAGCAGUGGGGAAUAUUGGACAAUGGGCGAAAGCCUGAUCCAGCAAUGCCGCGUGAGUGAUGAAGGCCUUAGGGUUGUAAAGCUCUUUUACCCGAGAUGAUAAUGACAGUAUCGGGAGAAUAAGCUCCGGCUAACUCCGUG